rnacentral:rRNA from 1 species
CUCCUAGAUGUUCUGGGCCGCACGCGCGCUACACUGAACAGUUCAACAAGUCUUAACCUUGGCCGAUAGGUCUGGGUAAUCUUUGAACGCUGUUCGUGAUUGGGAUAGACCUUUGCAAUUAUGGGUCUUCAACGAGGAAUUCCUAGUAAACGCAAGUCAUCAGCUUGCAUUGAUUACGUCCCUGCCCUUUGUACACACCGCCCGUCGCACCUACCGAUUGAAUGGUCCGGUGAAAUCUCGGGACGGCGGCUUGGUCGCUUGCGUCCGACUGCUGAAACUUGAUUAAACCAUAUCAUUUAGAGGAAGGUGAANUCGUANCA